rnacentral:rRNA from 1 species
UACGAAGGGAGCGAGCGUUAUCCGGAUUUAUUGGGUGUAAAGGGUGCGUAGACGGGAAGUCAAGUUAGUUGUGAAAUCCCUCGGCUUAACUGAGGAACUGCAACUAAAACUGAUUUUCUUGAGUACUGGAGAGGAAAGUGGAAUUCCUAGUGUAGCGGUGAAAUGCGUAGAUAUUAGGAGGAACACCAGUGGCGAAGGCGACUUUCUGGACAGAAACUGACGUUGAGGCACGAAAGUGUGGGGAGCAAACAGG